GCUGACUAUAGCAGAUCUCUGUAGAAGUCCUCCAUGUGAAAAUUCUACAAGCAACCUCAGAAAGGCAUAUGAAAAUAUCAAGGAGUUCUUCGAACUACAGAAAACGGACUCCCCUCACAUUGAUGAAUUAUAUUUGAUUCCUGGGACUCUUGCUGCUGUUAAAGUAGACCACUGCAAACCAGGGUUUGGAAAAAAUAUAAAUUCUAGGAAGAAUAAUUCAAUGUGCCCAGGAUGUUGUAUAACAUGCCCACCAGGUAGAUUCAGUGCAAAACAGGAUACCGUUUGCAUAUUAUGUCCUGUUGGGUCAUAUAAUGAAAAGUAUGGCCAAGUAGAGUGUGAAAAUUGUCCUGAGGCAAAAAGCAGUGAUGGAAAAGGUGCGAAGACAAAAAGAAAAUG